UACGUAGGGGGCAAGCGUUGUCCGGAUUUAUUGGGCGUAAAGAGCGUGUAGGCGGUUUGGUAGGUCCGCUGUGAAAACUCGAGCUCAACCUCGAGACGCCGGUGGAAACCAUCAGACUAGAGUCCGGAAGAGGAGAGUGGAAUUCCUGGUGUAGCGGUGGAAAUGACGCAGAUAUCAGGAAGAACACCCGUGGCUAAGGCGGCUCUCUAGUACGGUACUGACGCUGAGACGCGAAAGCGUGGGGAGCGAACAGG
rnacentral:rRNA from 1 species